GACGAACGCUGGCGGCGUGCCUAAUACAUGCAAGUUGAGCGAUGAAGAUUGGUGCUUGCACCAAUUUGAAGAGCAGCGAACGGGUGAGUAACGCGUGGGGAAUCUGCCUUUGAGCGGGGGACAACAUUUGGAAACGAAUGCUAAUACCGCAUAACAACUUUAAACAUAAGUUUUAAGUUUGAAAGAUGCAAUUGCAUCACUCAAAGAUGAUCCCGCGUUGUAUUAGCUAGUUGGUGAGGUAAAGGCUCGCCAAGGCGAUGAUACAUAGCCGACCUGAGAGGGUGAUCGGCCACAUUGGGACUGAGACACGGCCCAAACUCCUACGGGAGGCAGCAGUAGGGAAUCUUCGGCAAUGGACGAAAGUCUGACCGAGCAACGCCGCGUGAGUGAAGAAGGUUUUCGGAUCGUAAAACUCUGUUGGUAGAGAAGAACGUUGGUGAGAGUGGAAAGCUCAUCAAGUGACGGUAACUACCCAGAAAGGGACGGCUAACUACGUG
rnacentral:rRNA from 1 species